rnacentral:rRNA from 1 species
UACGUAGGUGACAAGCGUUGUCCGGAUUUACUGGGCGUAAAGAGCGCGCAGGCGGUCGUUCAAGUCGAGUGUGAAAGCCCCCGGCUCAACUGGGGAGGGUCACUCGAUACUGAUCGACUUGAAGGCAGGAGAGGGAAGCGGAAUUCCCGGUGUAGUGGUGAAAUGCGUAGAUAUCGGGAGGAACACCAGUGGCGAAGGCGGCUUCCUGGCCUGCUCUUGACGCUGAGGCGCGAAAGCUGGGGUAGCAAACGGG